rnacentral:rRNA from 1 species
AGAGUUUGAUCCUGGCUCAGAUUGAACGCUGGCGGCAUGCUUUACACAUGCAAGUCGGACGGCAGCACAGAGAAGCUUGCUUCUUGGGUGGCGAGUGGCGAACGGGUGAGUAACAUAUCGGAACGUACCGAGCAGUGGGGGAUAACUAAUCGAAAGAUUAGCUAAUACCGCAUAUUUUCUGAGGAAGAAAGCAGGGGACCAUUUGGCCUUGCGCUGUUUGAGCGGCCGAUAUCUGAUUAGCUAGUUGGUGGGGUAAAGGCCUACCAAGGCGACGAUCAGUAGCGGGUCUGAGAGGAUGAUCCGCCACACUGGGACUGAGACACGGCCCAGACUCCUACGGGAGGCAGCAGUGGGGAAUUUUGGACAAUGGGCGCAAGCCUGAUCCAGCCAUGCCGCGUGUCUGAAGAAGGCCUUCGGGUUGUAAAGGACUUUUGUCAGGGAAGAAAAGGGCGGGGUUAAUACCCCUGUCUGAUGACGGUACCUGAAGAAUAAGCACCGGCUAACUACGUGCCAGCAGCCGCGGUAAUACGUAGGGUGCGAGCGUUAAUCGGAAUUACUGGGCGUAAAGCGGGCGCAGACGGUUACUUAAGCAGGAUGUGAAAUCCCCGGGCUCAACCUGGGAACUGCGUUCUGAACUGGGUGACUAGAGUGUGUCAGAGGGAGGUAGAAUUCCACGUGUAGCAGUGAAAUGCGUAGAGAUGUGGAGGAAUACCGAUGGCGAAGGCAGCCUCCUGGGAUAACACUGACGUUCAUGCCCGAAAGCGUGGGUAGCAAACAGGAUUAGAUACCCUGGUAGUCCACGCCCUAAACGAUGUCGAUUAGCUGUUGGGCAGCUUGACUGCUUAGUAGCGAAGCUAACGCGUGAAAUCGACCGCCUGGGGAGUACGGUCGCAAGAUUAAAACUCAAAGGAAUUGACGGGGACCCGCACAAGCGGUGGAUGAUGUGGAUUAAUUCGAUGCAACGCGAAGAACCUUACCUGGUCUUGACAUGUACGGAACCCUCCAGAGACGGAGGGGUGCCUUCGGGAGCCGUAACACAGGUGCUGCAUGGCUGUCGUCAGCUCGUGUCGUGAGAUGUUGGGUUAAGUCCCGCAACGAGCGCAACCC